UACUAUUAUGUAAUAGCAUUUAUUAUUACUUA
rnacentral:piRNA from 1 species